CGUAGGUGUGAGCGUUGUCCGGAUUAUGGCGUAGAGCUUGUAGGCGGUUGUCGCGUCUGCUGUGAAGACCGGGCGUUAACUCCGGUUCUGCAGUGGUACGGCGAGGCUAGAGUAUGGUAGGGAGGACUGGAAUUCCUGGUGUAGCGGUGAAUGCGCAGAUAUCAGGAGGAACACCGAUGGCGAAGGCAGGUCUCUGGGCCAUUACUGACGCUGAGAAGCGAAAGCAUGGGAGCAAACAGGAUU
rnacentral:rRNA from 1 species